rnacentral:rRNA from 1 species
ACUCCUACGGGAGGCAGCAGUGGGGAAUAUUGCACAAUGGGCGCAAGCCUGAUGCAGCCAUGCCGCGUGUGUGAAGAAGGCCUUCGGGUUGUAAAGCACUUUCAGUUGUGAGGAAGGUGGUGUCGUUAAUAGCGGCAUCAUUUGACGUUAGCAACAGAAGAAGCACCGGCUAACUCCGUGCCAGCAGCCGCGGUAAUACGGAGGGUGCGAGCGUUAAUCGGAAUUACUGGGCGUAAAGCGCAUGCAGGUGGUUUGUUAAGUCAGAUGUGAAAGCCCGGGGCGUCAACCUCGGAACUGCAUUUGAAACUGGCAGACUAGAGUACUGUAGAGGGGGUAGAAUUUCAGGUGUAGCGGUGAAAUGCGUAGAGAUCUGAAGGAAUACCGGUGGCGAAGGCGGCCCCCUGGACAGAUACUGACACUCAGAUGCGAAAGCGUGGGGAGCAAACAGGAUUAGAUACCCUGGUAGCACAGAG